rnacentral:rRNA from 1 species
CCUACGGGAGGCAGCAGUGGGGAAUAUUGCACAAUGGGGGAAACCCUGAUGCAGCGACGCCGCGUGAGUGAAGAAGCGCCUCGGCGCGUAAAGCUCUGUCAGCAGGAACGAUAAUGACGGUACCUGAAGAAGACGCCCCGGCUAACUACGUGCCAGCAGCCGCGGUAAUACGUAGGGGGCAAGCGUUAUCCGGCUUUACUGGGUGGAAAGGGAGCGUAGACGGCGGGGCAAGUCUGGAGUGAAAGGCCGGGGCCCACCCACGGAACUGCAUUUGAAAAUGUCGGUCUGGAGUAUCGGAGAGGCAGGCGGAAUUCCUAGUGUAGCGGUGAAAUGCGUAGAUAUUAGGAGGAACACCAGUGGCGAAGGCGGCCUGCUGGACGACAACUGACGGUGAGGCGCGAAAGCGUGGGGAGCAAACAGGAUUAGAUACCCCAGUAGUC